AUUUGAUUGAGAUUGAUCCUGUCUUUAAAUUUGAUUUGCUUUGGGAUAAUAUUAAAUAUAAGUUUUUGCGUGAGUUGUUUAUUUGCCUAAAUGGUAAUGUUAAGUUUUAUUUGUAGUUUUUGAUUUUGAAUAUUGUGUAAUUACAGAUUCAGUUAAUUUAUUUAGAAUUGUUUAAGGUUGUGCCAGCAUACGCGGUUACACAUCCAAUUCAAGUUAAUUUUUUUGGUUUUUAUUUAUUUUUUCUGUUGGGGAUAAAUUUUUUGUUAUAAGGUGAAAUUUUUAAUUUUGAUU
rnacentral:rRNA from 1 species